rfam:Citrus sinensis cultivar Ridge Pineapple sweet orange scaffold00992_contig_1, whole genome shotgun sequence.
AAGACAAGAGACUGUCAAGUUAGCCAAAAGAUGACUGCGUAAUAAUACCCCAAACGGGUUUUAAUCAAAUAAGUGAUUUAACCAACAUUAAUUUGGAAACCACUUAGAAAUUAAGAUCAGGCAAGUCAUCCCUGGCUGCUAAACUAGACUCUUGGCU